rnacentral:rRNA from 1 species
AGCAGCCGCGGUAAUUCCAGCUCCAAUAGCGUAUAUUAAAGUUGUUGCAGUUAAAAAGCUCGUAGUUGAAUUUCGGGAUCAAUAUUUCGGUCAUGCCGUUGGUAUGCACUGUUAUCAUUGAUUUCUCACCUUCUAAAGAACCGUAAUGCCAUUAAUUUGGUGUUACGGGGAAUUAGGACUGUUACCUUGAAAAAAUUAGAGUGUUUAAAGCAGGCUCACGCUUGAAUACAUUAGCAUGGAAUAAUGAAAUAGGACAUCCGAUUCUAUUUUGUUGGUUUCUAGGAUCGAUGUAAUGAUUAAUAGGGAUAGUUGGGGGCAUUAGUAUUCAAUUGUCAGAGGUGAAAUUCUUGGAUUUAUUGAAGACUAACUACUGCGAAAGCAUUUGCCAAGGAUGUUUUCAUUAAUCAAGAACGAAAGUUAGGGGAUCGAAGACGAUCAGAUACCGUCGUAGUCUUAACCAUAAACUAUGCCGACUAGGGAUCGGAUGA